rnacentral:piRNA from 1 species
UGUGAUGUCCUCAACCCUUUGGUUCCUA